AAGUCGUAACAAGGUUUCCGUAGGUGAACCUGCGGAAGGAUCAUUAACACAAUUUUGAUUCACAAAUCUCUUUGCUUCGUUGUCUUUUUUUUUCUAGAUGCAAGAAAUUUCAGCUAGAGAAGAGAAGAGCAACAAGCAAUUAACCCCCUUUCUAUGACGAAAAAUCUUUACAAAAGAAUGGAAGAAAAGGAAUGUGUUUCGUCACAAUCCGUUUCAACCGUUUUUUUCCUUUACCCAAUUUUUUUUACCCCUUUUACAACAUGUAAUAGACUGAAAACAAAAAUCAUAUUCUAGAUCUCUAGAAUCUAAAACUAAGAAAACAACUCUUAGCAACGGAUAUCUAGGUUCUC
rnacentral:misc_RNA from 1 species